rnacentral:rRNA from 1 species
UACGAGAGGCCCAAACGUUAUUCGGAAUUACUGGGCUUACAGAGUUCGUAGGCGGCUCAGAAAGUUGGGUGUGAAAUCCCUCGGCCCAACCGAGGAAUUGCGCUCAAAACUACUGAGCUUGAGGGGUAUAGAGGUAAGCGGAACUGAUGGUGGAGCGGUGAAAUGCGUUGAUAUCAUCAGGAACACCGGUGGCGAAGGCGGCUUACUGGGUACCUCCUGACGCUGAGGAGCGAAAGCGUGGGGAGCGAACAGG